UGAACGUUAAUGAAUGGAAAAGUAGUCCAUGGCAAACAGUCGCAGCGAGCCGGGUUAGUGCAAGCCGGUACGGUUGCCGCGGAUGAAUCGGGCCCAGGAAACGAUCUGCCGAACCGAAGUAGGCCGAUCCGGCAAAACGCCGUUACGAAAUAAAGAGGUCAGACCGGCUAUGGUCUGACACUUAGAGUGGUACCGCGGGGAACCUGUAAGGCUCUCGUCUCUACA
rnacentral:ncRNA from 1 species